CUUGCUACAGGCUUAACACAUGCAAGUCGAGGGGCAGCAUGGUCUUAGCUUGCUAAGGCCGAUGGCGACCGGCGCACGGGUGAGUAACGCGUAUCCAACCUGCCUUACACUCUUGGACAGCCUUCUGAAAGGGAGAUUAAUACAAGAUGUUAUCAUGAGUAAGCAUUUUCGCAUGAUUAAAGGUUUACCGGUGUAAGAUGGGGAUGCGUUCCAUUAGAUAGUAGGCGGGGUAACGGCCCACCUAGUCUUCGAUGGAUAGGGGUUCUGAGAGGAAGGUCCCCCACAUUGGAACUGAGACACGGUCCAAACUCCUACGGGAGGCAGCAGUGAGGAAUAUUGGUCAAUGGACGAGAGUCUGAACCAGCCAAGUAGCGUGAAGGAUGAAGGUUCUAUGGAUUGUAAACUUCUUUUAUACGGGAAUAAACGAAUCCACGCGUGGAUUUUUGCAUGUACCGUAUGAAUAAGGAUCGGCUAACUCCGUGCCAGCAGCCGCGGUAAUACGGAGGAUCCGAGCGUUAUCCGGAUUUAUUGGGUUUAAAGGGAGCGUAGAUGGGUUGUUAAGUCAGUUGUGAAAGUUUGCGGCUCAACCGUAAAAUUGCAAUUGAUACUGGCAGUCUUGAGUACAGUUGAGGUAGGCGGAAUUCGUGGUGUAGCGGUGAAAUGCUUAGAUAUCACGAAGAACUCCGAUUGCGAAGGCAGCUUACUAACCUGUAACUGACAUUGAUGCUCGAAAGUGUGGGUAUCAAACAGGAUUAGAUACCCUGGUAGUCCACACGGUAAACGAUGAAUACUCGCUGUAGGCGAUAUACAGUCUGCGGCCAAGCGAAGGCAUUAAGUAUUCCACCUGGGGAGUACGCCGGCAACGGUGAAACUCAAAGGAAUUGACGGGGGCCCGCACAAGCGGAGGAACAUGUGGUUUAAUUCGAUGAUACGCGAGGAACCUUACCCGGGCUUAAAUUGCAACCGAAUAUGGCGGAAACGCUAUAGCUAGCAAUAGCGGUUGUGAAGGUGCUGCAUGGUUGUCGUCAGCUCGUGCCGUGAGGUGUCGGCUUAAGUGCCAUAACGAGCGCAACCCUUGCCGAUAGUUACUAACAGGUCAUGCUGAGGACUCUGUCGGGACUGCCAUCGUAAGAUGUGAGGAAGGUGGGGAUGACGUCAAAUCAGCACGGCCCUUACGUCCGGGGCUACACACGUGUUACAAUGGGGGGUACAGAGGGCUGCUACCACGCAAGUGGAUGCCAAUCCCAAAAACCUCUCUCAGUUCGGACUGAAGUCUGCAACCCGACUUCAUGAAGCUGGAUUCGCUAGUAAUCGCGCAUCAGCCACGGCGCGGUGAAUACGUUCCCGGGCCUUGUACACACCGCCCGUCAAGCCAUGGGAGCCGGGGGUACCUGAAGUGCGUAACCGCAAGGAGCGCCCUAGGGUAAAACUGGUGACUGGGGCUAA
rnacentral:rRNA from 1 species